rnacentral:lncRNA from 1 species
AUGAGGCAGGAGGGGAUGCUCGGCGCCGAUGACACCCCCAGAGCAGCCCCCCUGCCCCCCCGUAAGAGAGACAGGAGCCGGCGGGGGCUGCUGCAGACUCCUUGGGGACAGAGCUGGGCUGGGGCAGGACCCCAGGGACAAUGGGGACGAGCCCCCCGCUUUUCCAGGGUGACUGUGCUGCUCUGCGGUGCAGGGGGGGGGCUGGCUGCAGGGCAUGGGGGGCAGAGUGGGGGGGCUCGGGGGGCCGGGCUGCAGCCAAAAGACCUGCCUCUCUGUUUCUGUUGUAGUGAAACCGCGGCCGUUUCCUUCUGGGACCAGGAAGGGCAAAAAAAAAAAACUCCACACACACACACGCACCGAGCGAGCGAGUCCCGGAGGAGCGCCGCGGCGAGCACGGACCGGCCGGAGGCACCGGAGGGGGGGCCCCUCUCUGCCCCCAGCCCCACGGCAGGGAGGGAGAGCCGAGCGGGGGGCGUCCGGAGGGGCCUCAGCCCGCCCAGCCGCAGGGCCUGGGCACCAACGUCUUCCUUUCAGCUGCGGCACGCUGCCCCUUUCCCUGGCUCUGGGGCAGGGGGGGGACCAGGCGCUGGGCUGGGAACCCGGCUUCGUGGUUUUUUUCCCCCCCACCCCGAGCUCCGGCGCUUGCCGGUCAUCAGCGUGUCGAGUGUGCGAGGCCUCAGCUCCCGCGUGGAGCCGGGGCGGCGGCGCAAGCCGCUUUGCCGAGGCGCUGGGCGUUGCAGGGGGGACGAGCCUCUGCCUUUUAAAGGGAAUUUUUGUUAAAAAGAGGAGCUUGCAACUCGCUUGCCAUCCCUUUUCCCCUCCUUCCCCUUCCCUCCAGCCCCUGACGCACCCGGGGCUCCCACCCCGUGGGGAGCAGCCCUGACCCACGCAGCUCCCCCUGCGCUGAGCCGGGAUGGGGACUGUCCCGCUCACCCCCCCCCCACCCGAGACAGCAGAACCCCGCCGCCCCUCGGCGUGGGGGUCUCGGCCCGGGAUGGGGGGCUGGUAUUGCCCGCAGGCACCGGCCCGAGCCCCGGGGUCGGUCUGCAGCAGCCGCCACGCCGGGUACGGUGCCUGGCAGCACGGGGCACCGCGGAGCCCACUUUGGGGUGCAGCCCCCUCCCGUGGGGCAGCCUCACGCUCAGCCCC